GAUGAACGCUGGCGGCGUGCCUAAUACAUGCAAGUCGAGCGAACAGACGAGGAGCUUGCUCCUCUGACGUUAGCGGCGGACGGGUGAGUAACACGUGGAUAACCUACCUAUAAGACUGGGAUAACUUCGGGAAACCGGAGCUAAUACCGGAUAAUAUAUUGAACUGCAUGGUUCAAUAGUGAAAGACGGUUUUGCUGUCACUUAUAGAUGGAUCCGCGCCGAAUUAGCUAGUUGGUAAGGUAACGGCUUACCAAGGCGACGAUGCGUAGCCGACCUGAGAGGUUGAUCGGCCACACUGGAACUGAGACACGGUCCAGACUCCUACGGGAGGCAGCGGUAGGGAAUCUUCCGCAUUGGGCGAAAGCCUGACGGGGCAACGCCGCGUGAGUGAGGAAGGUCUUCGGAUCGUAAAACUCUGUUAUUAGGGAAGAACAAAUGUGUAAGUAACUAUGCACGUCUUGACGGUACCUAAUCAGAAAGCCACGGCUAACUACGUG
rnacentral:rRNA from 1 species